GUGGGUGCCGCCCCUGGGAGGGGAAGGGACCAUGUGUGGAGUUUUUUGUGCAAUACUGUCCGCAGUUGAGAAAGCAACGGCUGGAACCGUUUAUGGUCUUCCCAGGGCCAUGCCUUUUUGGAAGCAGCCCAGAUUUCAUCUCCAAAAAGCCUACAUAAGUUCCUGUUAGAGGCCAAACCCUGCCUGGAGUUUCCAGCCAUGAUCCCAUCACAACCACUUGUAGGGGAGAAGGCAUUUGAUGGCAGAAUGG